ensembl:lncRNA
UAUUGUUAUUUUUAUUUUCUUUGCUUGAAAUAAACUUACUACUACUACUACUGUGUUGUGUUGUCACUAGCACAAUUCUUUGUGAUCCAAAGGAAAUGAGGAUUCAGUCUGUUUGUAAUGAUGAACAUGUUUCUGACUGUUCUGCUUUUCUUUAACAGGGAGUCUCAUCUCUGAAGAACUGCAUUCUGGGUAUGAAGAUGCUGAUGAGCUCCUCUCAGGUUAGAGAGCUGAAGCACAUAAUCAUUCCACAUUUUACUAAAAACCUUUAUAAUGAAUAACUGUAAUUAGUAAUUGCAUAUUAUAUUUGAAAAAUGACUCAAUAUUAUUCAAAUCUUGCUGUUUACUUGUAUAUUAACUUUUUUAGCAAAAGUGUUCAAUACUGCAUAUUAUGAUGAUGUCAGCAAUGGCAGUGGCCUAAAAAAAGAGAUGGUGAAGGAAAUCACACCGGGAUACUAUGAUGAUGUCAUCACUGAUGGACUGAAACCAGAUCGUGAGACAGAAGACACACCUGAGAGCUAUGAUGAUGUCAUGAUGAGCAGACAUGACUCUGAUAUCAAAAAAGGUGUUUUACUUUAUUCAUUUUUUAAAAAUAAUAUCAACUCUACAAUCAAGAUCGUUACAGAUAAUAUUUUAAAUUACUGCCUUAAUAGGUUUUUGGUUUACACUUAAAUUGACUCAUAUUUGCAUGUGUAGUGCAAGGGGUAACAGGUGAGAUGCACAGAACUACAUUUUUUUAAUCACCCUUCACAUAUUUACAUGGGUAUUGUGAUGUGCUGGAGAAAGCUGGCUGAGAUCAGGAUCUAACUGCAGGAGUUUAAUAGAAUAACACACGGAAGAGAGACACAGGCAAAACAAGCACCAAUACAUUACAGCUGACAAAGCACAAGGGAAACACAAGGGCCAUUUAUCCACCUUAUUUUUAAACACAGAAGUAAGCCGUUUUCUGUGAAUGUGCGAGACUUCCAGUUCCGGUCAAGAAGAAUAACAAUGUGCAGUAAACGGUAACAUUUUAUGCACUAGAAACCAGUGUUCAUAAUUAAGAUUAUACAUUAAAAUAAUAAGGUACGACACACCAGUUUGCAAUAUCAAGCAGCAAAUGGUCGCGGA